GAUGAACGCUGGCGGCGUGCCUAAUACAUGCAAGUCGAGCGAACAGAUGAGGAGCUUGCUCCUCUGACGUUAGCGGCGGACGGGUGAGUAACACGUGGAUAACCUACCUAUAAGACUGGGAUAACUUCGGGAAACCGGAGCUAAUACCGGAUAAUAUAUUGAACCGCAUGGUUCAAUAGUGAAAGACGGUUUUGCUGUCACUUAUAGAUGGAUCCGCGCCGCAUUAGCUAGUUGGUAAGGUAACGGCUUACCAAGGCAACGAUGCGUAGCCGACCUGAGAGGGUGUUCGCCGCCACUGGAACUGAGACACGGUCCAGACUCCUACGGGAGGCAGCAGUAGGGAAUCUUCCGCAAUGGGCGAAAGCCUGACGGAGCAACGCCGCGUGAGUGAUGAAGGUCUUCGGAUCGUAAAACUCUGUUAUUAGGGAAGAACAAAUGUGUAAGUAACUAUGCACGUCUUGACGGUACCUAAUCAGAAAGCCACGGCUAACUACGUG
rnacentral:rRNA from 1 species